rnacentral:rRNA from 1 species
UAUAUUAACCCGACAGUUUAAAUAAGUGUUAAAUGCUACAUUAUUAAACUUACAUCAUAUCACGCAUACCACGAUUUUGUUUACCGUAGUAACAAUUUCAGCGUGACGCACAUAUAUCUUCGCGAUAUAGUGAAUCACUGAAAUUUACCCAUUCAGUAUCACUUACGCAACUGCAGACAGCUGCUUAAUACAGUCACACUUGUCUUGACUUGGCGUAAUAAUAUACAAUGAAAUUUUCAUUUCGAAAUAUAUACUCGCUCGCGGGUGUAUGUGACGGCCGAAUUUUUUAUUUUUAUUAUUUUUUUUUGUUGCCUUCACACGCACUACAAAAAUUUAUAUAUUGAUUUCUCUGUAUCGCUUAUUCUUAAGGACAAKGCGUUACACCGUGACAAUUUUCUUUAUGGAUAACUCAGGGAAAGUUUGGCUAAUACGUACGAGUACAUUUUACACCACACACACACACACACACACAUACACNNANUAUAUAUUUUUGUAUCUACGCUGUGUAWCAACAAUACAUACAUCMUUACUCMKCACUCAAUGGUAAKCUUWGGCUGCGUUCGCGUAGCCAGUUYAAAGUUWAACUGCAACAUGAGAGACAUUGACGCACGCACGUGUUGUAUCUUCGGGUACYUCACAUCACGCUGAGCAGACUAKGCKAAGUUUASUUUGCGAAGCAURUCAUACAAGCAUMUACAGCAYCAAGUCACAGGGYGUGGSWRUGUGUAUUUUUUGMACCUYCMAMGCASUCMCGCAWASSGAAGAGUAGUUUMUGAUCCCAUAGAAGGAGCRCCGCACAAUGAGAGACCGCUCUUAGUUUUAAGGAACGCAGCAGGCGCGUAAAUUGCCCAAUGCUAGUACCGUACAAUACUAAUUGUAUUUUACAAUGCGUUAAACCAAUUCACAUACCAACAAGUUUAUACAUAAUAUUACACAUAUAACACUUCUAUUUUUUCUGUUGAUGUUAAUUUACAUCAAUUAGAACAUACAUACAUAUCCUUGUUCGUUGUUUAUUUAUCAGCAUCAUAAUAUUAUUAUUAUAUUAUUUUACUGAGGCAGUGACAAGCUGUAACGGUUGAGUAUAAAAAUGACGAGUGUCUGGCAUUGCCGCUCUCUCGGGAGCUUGGCAAGUUGCCGACGCUUUGUGUGCUCAAUUGGAAUGCGGUGAGUUUAAGCAACUCAGAACCUUUGGACGGUGUUAGUAAUAUUUCACNNNNNNNNNNNNNNNNNNNNNNNNNNNNNNNNNNNNNNNNNNNNNNNNNNNNNNNNNNNNNNNNNNNNNNNNNNNNNNNNNNNNUUGUUGCGGUUAAGAGGCUCGUAGUUGGAUUGAACUGCACGUAUGCGAAUGAAUUUCUCAUUCUGUUUGGAAGUUUUUUUACGCUUUAUUUAAUUCUGAAUUAUUUAUUGCGUUCGACGCUGUUACAAAAUUUUUAUUUUUUACACGGGACAAAUAUACAUAUACGUAUAUAUCACACACACACAUACCCAUUCGAUAUAUAUAAGCUAUGCGUAUAUUUGCGUAUAUUUGCUAUACACACGCUUUAGAAUUUAUUCUCCUUUCAACACUGUGAACAAAUCAGAGUGUAUCAAACAUGUCGUUUUUGAAUGUGCAUUGAAUGUCUUAUCAUGGGAUGUUGCACUUUCUGCGUUAAAAAUUUAUUACUGCUUCGUGCUGUAAUUAUUUUUCACACACACACACACACACACACACACAUACGCACAUGUUGUAUGCCACGUAAAUAAUUUUUAACGGUUAAAAAUGUCGAUGGGGAUAGUUGGAGUCAACAGUACUGCUGGGCGAGAGGUGAAAUUCAUUGACCCUAGCAAGACUACCAAAAGAGAGAGCAGUUGGGUAGGGUAUACUCUUUGUGAUUAUAUAUAUUUUAUCACGCAUAAAUAUACACACACACACAUACACACUCACGUAUAUACAUGCGGUCAGUAUAUAUACAUACACUUUACAAUGAAGAACGAAGGUUGGGGGAUCAAAGAGGAUCAGAUACCCUCGUCGUCCCAUUAAUUACAUCAAACGAUGGGCUCUCAAUUGCAUUUUUCAUUAAAUUGCAAAUUUCCUCAACCUACAAAAUGACUUGGCUUGAGCUCGUAUUUUUUAUACGCUCGCCUAACUUUUUUCGUACGGUCUCGAUGGACGUUUCAUUUAAAUUUUUUUGCGUGUAAGCAUUUGUUAUUCUUUGAAACAUAAGAAUGCAUUGCGUGCACUUGAUUUUCGGAGCUUUGCGCUCAAUUCUGGUGAGAUGUAAGCACUAUGUUAUACUAUCCGCAGCAUAUGUCUUCGGGCAUUUUGUCUGUCGUGUUUAGUUAACAAUUUCGGUGUGAAGCACGCUUUAGGCACGCGCUUACUGCAGAAAUGUCUGAGACAUUCCCCUCCGGGGGUAGUAUGCACGCAAGUGUGAAACUUGAAGGAAUUGACGGAAGGGCACCACAAGAACGCGUGGAGCAUGUGGCUUAAUUUGACUCAACGCGGGAAAUCUUACCGGGUCCGGACACACUGAGGAUUGACAGGCAAUAUUAAUACUACACUCUCUUCAGAGAUGUGUAUUUUAUGUUAAAUAUGCUAGUCCUUUCAUGAUUAUGUGAUAGGUGGUGCAUGGCCGUUCUUAGUUCGUGGAGUGAUCUGUCUGCUUAAUUGCGUUUCACUAAGGGCCUAUAAAUUUACGUAUGUUGCGGCACUUUGACCCCUUUUCUCGUUAAAAGCGCGCGUCUUAGUUUGCUUUGCUCAUACAAUUAGGUCCUGAAAGCAACGAACGUGACCGCAACCUCUUGUUGCCUUUAUUACCAAACAUUGUUUAUGCGUUCUGCGCAUAUCGAUGAAAAAAGGCUUUUUAAACUAGAGGGACCGCUGUUACUUUCUUAAACCAGAGGAAGGUUGCGGCAAUAACAGGUCUGUGAUGCCCUUAGAUGUUCCGGGCUGCACACGUGCUACAAUGAUUAUUGCAGUGAGCAUCUCAUUUUUUACACACCGCAUGCGCGAGUCCAUUUAUUCAUUAUCCUUCGGGUUAUGCUUUAAAUGUGUAUCUCUGCGCGCGGUAAAGCCUGCUUCGAAAGUAAGUGGGUAAUCAAUUAGAAGUAAUGAUUUCCUUUUUUUUUAGCACACAUAUAUACGGCGUUUAUACCCGGGUAAUGCUUGUCGUUACUUUUGUGCGUAUAGAUGUUUUUUCCGUAUGUGCGAUUGUCAAUUCAUGGUGGGGACAGACCAUUGUUAAUUGUUGGUCUCGGUCUUAACUAGGAAUGCCUUGUACGGGUCUUUGGUUCAACAAACCACCCGGAAUACGUCCCUGCCCUUUGUACACACCGCCCGUCGCUCUUACCGAUGGACUUCUCUGUGAGUUUGAGGGACUGGGAACGCAUAUAAUUUCGAUUACUUGCACACCUAUGAAAACUAAACCGAAAAG